AUGCACGCUGGCGGCGUGCCUAAUCCCUGCAAGUCGAGCGAACAGACGAGGAGCUUGCUCCUCUGACGUUAGCGGCGGACGGGUGAGUAACACGUGGAUAACCUACCUAUAAGACUGGGAUAACUUCGGGAAACCGGAGCUAAUACCGGAUAAUAUAUUGAACCGCAUGGUUCAAUAGUGAAAGACGGUUUUGCUGUCACUUAUAGCUGGAUCCGCGCCGCAUUAGCUAGUUGGUAAGGUAACGGCUUACCAAGGCAACGAUGCGUAGCCGACCUGAGAGGGUGAUCGGCCACACUGGAACUGAGACACGGUCCAGACUCCUACGGGAGGCAGCAGUAGGGAAUCUUCCGCAAUGGGCGAAAGCCUGACGGAGCAACGCCGCGUGAGUGAUGAAGGUCUUCGGAUCGUAAAACUCUGUUAUUAGGGAAGAACAAAUGUGUAAGUAACUAUGCACGUCUUGACGGUACCUAAUCAGAAAGCCACGGCUAACUACGUG
rnacentral:rRNA from 1 species